UUGACCUCGGAUCAGGCAGGGAUACCCGCUGAACUUAAGCAUAUCAAUAAGCGGAGGAAAAGAAACCAACAGGGAUUGCCUCAGUAACGGCGAGUGAAGCGGCAACAGCUCAAAUUUGAAAUCUGGCUCUUUUAGGGUCCGAGUUGUAAUUUGUAGAGGAUGCUUCGGCGUCGGCUCCGGUCUAAGUUCCUUGGAACAGGACGUCAUAGAGGGUGAGAAUCCCGUAUGUGAUCGGUUGCCCUUGCCAUGUGAAGCUCCUUCGACGAGUCGAGUUGUUUGGGAAUGCAGCUCUAAAUGGGAGGUAAAUUUCUUCUAAAGCUAAAUACUGGCCAGAGACCGAUAGCGCACAAGUAGAGUGAUCGAAGAUGAAAGCACUUUGAAAGAGAGUCAAAAGUACGUGAAUUGUGAAAGGGAAGCGCUUGCAACAGACCUGCCUGCAGUUGCUCAUCCGG
rnacentral:rRNA from 1 species